rnacentral:rRNA from 1 species
UGGGGAAUAUUGCACAAUGGGCGAAAGCCUGAUGCAGCGACGCCGCGUGAGGGAUGACGGCCUUCGGGUUGUAAACCUCUUUCAGCAGGGAAGCGGUACCUGCAGAAGAAGCGCCGGCUAACUACGUGCCAGCAGCCGCGGUAAUACGUAGGGCGCAAGCGUUGUCCGGAAUUAUUGGGCGUAAAGAGCUCGUAGGCGGCUUGUCACGUCGGAUGUGAAAGCCCGGGGCUUAACCCCGGGUCUGCAUUCGAUACGGGCUAGCUAGAGUGUGGUAGGGGAGAUCGGAAUUCCUGGUGUAGCGGUGAAAUGCGCAGAUAUCAGGAGGAACACCGGUGGCGAAGGCGGAUCUCUGGGCCAUUACUGACGCUGAGGAGCGAAAGCGUGGGGAGCGAACAGGAUUAGAUACCCGAGUAGU